rnacentral:rRNA from 1 species
GACGAACGCUGGCGGCGUGCUUAACACAUGCAAGUCGAACGGAAAGGCCCUGCUUUUGUGGGGUGCUCGAGUGGCGAACGGGUGAGUAACACGUGAGUAACCUGCCCUUGACUUUGGGAUAACUUCAGGAAACUGGGGCUAAUACCGGAUAGGAGCUCCUGCUGCAUGGUGGGGGUUGGAAAGUUUCGGCGGUUGGGGAUGGACUCGCGGCUUAUCAGCUUGUUGGUGGGGUAGUGGCUUACCAAGGCUUUGACGGGUAGCCGGCCUGAGAGGGUGACCGGGCACAGUGGGACUGAGAUACGGCCCAGACUCCUACGGGAGGCAGCAGUGGGGAAUAUUGCACAAUGGGCGGAAGCCUGAUGCAGCAACGCCGCGUGCGGGAUGACGGCCUUCGGGUUGUAAACCGCUUUCGCCUGUGACGAAGCGUGAGUGACGGUAAUGGGUAAAGAAGCACCGGCUAACUACGU